rnacentral:rRNA from 1 species
UACGGGGGGGGCAAGCGUUGUUCGGAAUUACUGGGCGUAAAGGGCUCGUAGGCGGCCAACUAAGUCAUACGUGAAAUCCCCCGGCUUAACCGGGGAACUGCGUCUGAUACUGGAUGGCUUGAGUUCGGGAGAGGGAUGCGGAAUUCCAGGUGUAGCGGUGAAAUGCGUAGAUAUCAGGAGGAACACCGGUGGCGAAGGCGGGUCUCUGGGCAACAACUGACGCUGAGGAGCGAAAGCGUGGGGAGCGAACAGG